rnacentral:tRNA from 1 species
GUUUUUGUAGUUGAAUAACAACGGUGGUUUUUCAGAUCAUAGGUUUUGGUUAAAAUCCAGAUAAAAAUA